UCUUAUCACAUUGAAACACUGGUUAUUGUCUGAUCACCGACGUUAAGCAACAUUGAACCUGAUCAGUACCUAGAUGGGUGAAUGCUUGGGAAUAUAAGGUGUUGUAAG